GUCAGCAUGGCAUAGUGUUUUGAGUGUUGGACUACAACUCCAGAGACCAGGGUUCGAUUCUGUGCUUGGCCA